rnacentral:rRNA from 1 species
AUUGAAAGCUGGCGGCAGGCCUAACACAUGCAAGUCGAGCGGAUGAAGGGAGCUUGCUCCUGGAUUCAGCGGCGGACGGGUGAGUAAUGCCUAGGAAUCUGCCUGGUAGUGGGGGAUAACGUCCGGAAACGGGCGCUAAUACCGCAUACGUCCUGAGGGAGAAAGUGGGGGAUCUUCGGACCUCACGCUAUCAGAUGAGCCUAGGUCGGAUUAGCUAGUUGGUGGGGUAAAGGCCCACCAAGGCGACGAUCCGUAACUGGUCUGAGAGGAUGAUCAGUCACACUGGAACUGAGACACGGUCCAGACUCCUACGGGAGGCAGCAGUGGGGAAUAUUGGACAAAGGGCGAAAGCCUGAUCCAGCCAUGCCGCGUGUGUGAAGAAGGUCUUCGGAUUGUAAAGCACUUUAAGUUGGGAGGAAGGGCAGUAAGUUAAUACCUUGCUGUUUUGACGUUACCAACAGAAUAAGCACCGGCUAACUUCGUG